CGGAAGAAAACCGACCGGGAACAUUUUAUCCUGUCCUGUUGCAAUUCCCCUCACGCGAUCUCGCCGUGUCCACUUCUAUCACUACCUGGCCACCUGGGGAUCGGGUUGGGCUGGAUUGGAUUUCCGAACCGAAUCCUGCGGGCUCGCCUCGCGUCGCCGUCCUCUUCGCCGCGGAGGUGAUGCGCUGUUGCCGCCGCCGCCGCCGCUAGCGCCGGAUCGGGGGCGAUGAACAUCGUCAAGGGCGUCGCCGAUCUCCUCCGCAAGUCGACGCCCGCCUCGCCGGGGGCCGGCGCCGGCGGGGGCGGCGGAGGCGGAGACCGAGGAGGCGUCGGGUCCCCAUCCGCCGACAGGCUCGCCGCCCCGCCAUCCCCAAGGGUCCGCUUCAGUGACAAUGGUGAGGAAGGAGUCCUUAAUGCGCUUUGGCACAAGUAUGAGAGUGG
rnacentral:lncRNA from 1 species